GUUUGGAACAGUUGUUUUCGGGAUCGAGAAACAGAGAACCAAAUCAAAUUUCCUCAUUUUAAUUGAGCAACCUUAGUGGACACAGGCAAAAGUGAAAAAAACGGUUUAAACAUGAAGUUCCACAUCCGUUCGUGUGGCAUGAGUGUGAUAAAAUACACUCUGUUUGUAUUCAAUGUGAUUUUUGCGAUAUCAGGUUUGGGCAUUUUAAUUGCCGGAGCUGUGGUACUCGCCGAUGUAAAUCAGUUCAAUCAUUUCGUUGAGGGGAAGGUAUCAGCUCCUCCUAUAGUUCUGAUAAUCACCGGUCUGAUAAUAUUCCUCAUUGCUUCCUUGGGCUGUUUCGGAGCUAUAAAGGAAUCGCCUACCUUACUGUUGGCUUAUGCUUUACUCUUGGCCAUAAUCUUCAUCAUUGAAUUGGCCGUUGGCAUAGCUGCCUGUGUAUUUAAGGGUGACUUGGAAAUGGCCAUUAAGAACUCCUUGCAAGACUCGAUAAAACGCUCCAACAAGGAUGAUGUUAUGGCUUGGGACAAUAUACAGCGUAAAUUGAUGUGUUGCGGUGUCGAUUAUCCUUCUGAUUGGCGCACCAUGAGUGCCAACAAAACACUGCCUGCCAGUUGUUGUCGCCCCCAAUACAUUGAGGAGAGCGUAGGCCACUGCACCGAAUCCCCGGCUUUGGGAAAGGACAAAUAUUAUCAGGAGGGCUGUGUGGGUAAAUUGAAGCAACGCAUUGACAAGAAUGCCGCCGUGUUGAUUGGAGUGGGCAUUGGCAUUGCUUUCAUACAAAUACUGGGCAUUGCGUUGGCAUGUUAUUUGGCUUCCACCAUACGAAACGAACGCCACAAAUAAAUGAUUAAAUUUGGUUAAAAUUGCUGCGUCACCAUCUAAGAUUAGAGCGGCACAAAGGACAAUGGAAACGAGUUCAAUUCCUUUAAACACCUUCCCUUCCUCAUGGCAUAACUAAUGACCAACUCCACAAAGAACCACAAUCACUCUGUCUGCUACUGCUGCCGCUACUACUACUGAUCCAUAUAUGAAGGAAAAUAUUUCAUCACAAACUCAAUGGAUUUCCUUCAAUAAUUGCGUGCGUUGUGUGAGCGCCAUUAAGGUCAAAGGAAUUUCAAUUUUUAUUUUUUAAUAUUUACGCACGUAUACCCAUUUAAAAACGAAGGGCUGUCAUCGUCGUCGUCGUCAUCAGAUCCGGUGGUGGUUUAAAACGCAACAAUAAGGAGUAAAACUAUCCAAAGCACACACUAAUUAAGGUUUAUUUUUAAUAAAAAUCUCCAUAAACGUUUUCUGUUACAUGACCCAAAAGUCGUUUCUUGUUGUCCAUUAUUAUUUUCAUACCUGUUUAUGGUUUUAAGAUU